AUCCGGGAAGUAAACAGGAAAUAAUUGGACACAUCUGACAGCUGGGGUGUCAAGACACAAACAUUCUAUGCAAGGGCAAACAUGGAGGAAUUAGUAUGUUUUUGACAAUAAAAUCUGGAUUUGGACGCUAUAACCUGGAUUUCUGCAGCAUUUUUAUGUGGAAAAUGGCUUUCAAGUGGCUUUCUACCUUGGUUGGAGUCACUACUACAGAGAAGUUUGCGGAUCCCUGCAGAUGGGAUCGUCUCACCUUGCCCGCACCCAUAAUCUUCUCUGCGGCGUACACGGAGUCGCCACAGCGAGCGCAUUUUUCCGAUCCUGCGAACUUCUGGGCGAACUUGGACGGGUUGGGGUUGGUGGUGGGCCUGUGACACGGCGACCUGUCGGGAGAGAGACUGGUCGACACGUCAUCCAGGGAGAUGCAGAUUGGCUUGUCGGGCGGCGGAUAAUUCGGGUAGAGAGCCAGGAACUUCUGGCACAGCAGACCCAAGCUCUUCUGCUUCCUGCUCGGCUUCUUCUCCACGUUUUCCUCCUCCUCCACUGCUUCAAACUGUAUUUUCGGCUGCCUGUACGUCAUCUAUGUCGACGUCCGCACUUCCUGACUCAUUCUCUAUGGGCCGAAAGAGUACUUUCCUCAUCUCGCGGUUUCGGAUUUCGGGACUGGCGG